rnacentral:rRNA from 1 species
GACGAACGCUGGCGGCGUGCUUAACACAUGCAAGUCGUACGGUAAGGCCCUUUCGGGGGUACACGAGUGGCGCACGGGUGCGUAACACGUGAGUAACCUGCCCACAACUUUGGGAUAACGCUAGGAAACUGGUGCUAAUACUGGAUAUGUGCUCCUGCUGCAUGGUGGGGGUUGGAAAGCUCCGGCGGUUGUGGAUGGACUCGCGGCCUAUCAGCUUGUUGGUGGGGUAGUGGCCUACCAAGGCGGCGACGGGUAGCCGGCCUGGGAGGGUGACCGGCCACAUUGGGACUGAGAUACGGCCCAGACGCCUACGGGAGGCAGCAGGGGGGAAUAUUGCACAAUGGGCGCAAGCCUGAUGCAGCAACGCCGCGUGCGGGAUGACGGCCUUCGGGUUGUAAACCGCUUUCAGCAGGGACGAAGCUUUUUGUGACGGUACCUGCAGAAGAAGCACCGGCUAACUACGUG